CUACGGGAGGCUGCAGUGAGGAAUAUUGCACAAUGGGGGGAACCCUGAUGCAGCAACGCCGCGUGGAGGAUGACGCAUUUCGGUGUGUAAACUCCUUUUAUAUGUCAAGAAAAUGACGGUAGCAUAUGAAUAAGCACCGGCUAACUCCGUGCCAGCAGCCGCGGUAAUGCGGAGGGUGCAAGCGUUACUCGGAAUCACUGGGCGUAAAGGACGCGUAGGCGGGUUGGAAAGUCAGGUGUGAAAUCCUACAGCUUAACUGUAGAACUGCACUUGAAACUUCUAAUCUAGAGUAUAGGAGGGGGAGAGGGAAUUAGUGGUGUAGGGGUAAAAUCCGUGGAUAUCACUAGGAAUACCUAAAGCGAAGGCGAUCUCCUGGAACAUUACUGACGCUAAGGCGUGAAAGCGUGGGGAGCAAACAGGAUUAGAUACCCGGGUAGUC
rnacentral:rRNA from 1 species